rnacentral:rRNA from 1 species
AGCAGCCGCGGUAAUUCCAGCUCCAAUAGCGUAUAUUAAAGUUGUUGCAGUUAAAAAGCUCGUAGUUGAAUUUCGGGGUCAGUAGGUUGGUCGUGCCACCGGUACGUACUGGUCUCACUGAUUCCUCCUUCCUGAUGAGCUGUAAUGCCAUUAAUUUGGUGUUGCAGGGAAUCUGGACUGUUACUUUGAAAAAUUAGAGUGUUUAAAGCAGGCUAACGCUUGAAUACAUUAGCAUGGAAUAAUGAAAUAGGACGUUCGAUCCUAUUUGUUGGUUUCUAGGAUUGACGUAAUGAUUAAUAGGGAUAGUUGGGGCAUUAGUAUUCAAUUGUCAGAGGUGAAAUUCUUGGAUUUAUUGAAGACUAACUACUG